rnacentral:rRNA from 1 species
UACAGAGGAUGCAAGCGUUAUCCGGAAUGAUUGGGCGUAAAGCGUCUGUAGGUGGCUUUUUAAGUCCGCCGUCAAAUCCCAGGGCUCAACUCUGGACAGGCGGUGGAAACUACCAAGCUGGAGUACGGUAGGGGCAGAGGGAAUUUCCGGUGGAGCGGUGAAAUGCGUAGAGAUCGGAAAGAACACCCGUGGCGAAGGCGGCACUCUGGGACGGUACUGACGCUGAGACGCGAAAGCGUGGGGAGCGAACAGG